CAGCCGCCACGGGAAUACAGAGGGUGAAAGCGUUAAUCGGAAUUACUGGGCGUAAAGCGCGCGUAGGUGGUUUGUUAAGUUGGAUGUGAAAGCCCCGGGCUCAACCUGGGAACUGCAUCCAAAACUGGCAAGCUAGAGUACGGUAGAGGGUGGUGGAAUUUCCUGUGUAGCGGUGAAAUGCGUAGAUAUAGGAAGGAACACCAGUGGCGAAGGCGACCACCUGGACUGAUACUGACACUGAGGUGCGAAAGCGUGGGGAGCAAACAGGAUUAGAUACCCGGGUAGUCCCUGUCUCUUAUAC
rnacentral:rRNA from 1 species